rnacentral:rRNA from 1 species
ACUCCUACGGGAGGCAGCAGUGGGGAAUUUUGCGCAAUGAGCGAAAGCUUGACGCAGCGAUGCCGCGUGCGGGAUGAAGGCCUUCGGGUCGUAAACCGCUGUCGCGAGGGACGAACAUCCGCAGGAUGAAUAAGCCUGCGGCCUGACGGUACCUCGUGAGAAAGCCCCGGCUAACUCCGUGCCAGCAGCCGCGGUAAUACGGAGGGGCCAGCGUUGUUCGGAAUCACUGGGCGUAAAGGGUCCGUAGGCGGCCAUGCAAGUCCUGGGUGAAAUCCCCC